CAGGAGUAGCUUGCUAUUUGCUGACGACCGGCGCACGGGUGCGUAACGCGUAUAGAAUCUACCUUAUACUGGGGGAUAGCCUUUGGAAACGAAGAUUAAUACCCCAUAGUAUUAUUUUUUGGCNUCAUUAAAUAAUUAAAGUUUCGGCGGUAUAAGAUGACUAUGCGUUCUAUUAGUUAGUUGGUAAGGUAACGGCUUACCAAGACUUCGAUAGAUAGGGGUCCUGAGAGGGAGAUCCCCCACACUGGUACUGAGACACGGACCAGACUCCUACGGGAGGCAGCAGUGAGGAAUAUUGGACAAUGGAGGCAACUCUGAUCCAGCCAUGCCGCGUGUAGGAAGACUGCCCUAUGGGUUGUAAACUACUUUUAUAUGGGAAGAAUAAGAUCUACGUGUAGAUNGAUGACGGUACCAUAAGAAUAAGCACCGGCUAACUCCGUGCCAGCAGCCGCGGUAAUACGGAGGGUGCAAGCGUUAUCCGGAAUCAUUGGGUUUAAAGGGUCCGUAGGCGGGCAUAUAAGUCAGUGGUGAAAGUCUGUGGCUNAACCAUAGAAUUGCCAUUGAUACUGUAUGUCUUGAAUUAUUGUGAAGUGGUUAGAAUAUGUAGUGUAGCGGUGAAAUGCUUAGAGAUUACAUAGAAUACCGAUUGCGAAGGCAGAUCACUAACAAUAUAUUGACGCUGAUGGACGAAAGCGUAGGUAGCGAACAGGAUUAGAUACCCUGGUAGUCUACGCCGUAAACGAUGGAUACUAGUUGUUUGGUUUUCGGACUGAGUGACUAAGCGAAAGUGAUAAGUAUCCCACCUGGGGAGUACGUUCGCAAGAAUGAAACUCAAAGGAAUUGACGGGGGCCCGCACAAGCGGUGGAGCAUGUGGUUUAAUUCGAUGAUACGCGAGGAACCUUACCAGGGCUUAAAUGUAGUCUGACAGCUUUAGAGAUAGAGUUUUCUUCGGACAGAUUACAAGGUGCUGCAUGGUUGUCGUCAGCUCGUGCCGUGAGGUGUCAGGUUAAGUCCUAUAACGAGCGCAACCCCUGUGGUUAGUUGCCAGCGAGUAAUGUCGGGAACUCUAGCCAGACUGCCGGUGCAAACCGUGAGGAAGGUGGGGAUGACGUCAAAUCAUCACGGCCCUUACGUCCUGGGCCACACACGUGCUACAAUGGUAGGGACAGAGAGCAGCCACUUAGCGAUAAGGAGCGAAUCUAUAAACCCUAUCUCAGUUCGGAUUGGAGUCUGCAACUCGACUCCAUGAAGCUGGAAUCGCUAGUAAUCGGAUAUCAGCCAUGAUCCGGUGAAUACGUUCCCGGGCCUUGUACACACCGCCCGUCAAGCCAUGGAAGCUGGGGGUACCUGAAGUCCGUCACCGUAAGGAG
rnacentral:rRNA from 1 species